GGGUCCAUAGCUCAGUGGUAGAGCAUUCGACUGCAGAUCAAGAGGAACCGGUUGGGCCCU
rfam:Glycine soja cultivar W05 scaffold1029_27, whole genome shotgun sequence.